GACGAACGCUGGCGGCGUGCCUAAUACAUGCAAGUAGAACGCUGAAGGAGGAGCUUGCUUCUCUGGAUGAGUUGCGAACGGGUGAGUAACGCGUAGGUAACCUGCCUGGUAGUGGGGGAUAACUAUUGGAAACGAUAGCUAAUACCGCAUAAUAGCAGUUGUUGCAUGAUAACUGUUUGAAAGGUGCAAUUGCACCGCUACCAGAUGGACCUGCGUUGUAUUAGCUAGUUGGUGGGGUAACGGCUCACCAAGGCGACGAUACAUAGCCGACCUGAGAGGGGGAUCGGCCACACUGGGACGGAGACACGGCCCAGACUCCUACGGGAGGCAGCAGUAGGGAAUCUUCGGCAAUGGACGGAAGUCUGACCGAGCAACGCCGCGUGAGUGAAGAAGGGUUUCGGAUCGUAAAGCUCUGUUGUAAGAGAAGAACGAGUGUGAGAGUGGAAAGUUCACACUGUGACGGUAUCUUACCAGAAAGGGACGGCUAACUACGUG
rnacentral:rRNA from 1 species